rnacentral:rRNA from 1 species
AUUGAACGCUGGCGGCAGGCUUAACACAUGCAAGUCGAGCGGAGCGAGGGUGCUUGCACCUUAGCUUAGCGGCGGACGGGUGAGUAAUGCUUAGGAAUCUGCCUAUUAGUGGGGGACAACAUUCCGAAAGGAAUGCUAAUACCGCAUACGCCCCACGGGGGAAAGCAGGGGACCUUCGGCCCUUGCGCUAAUAGACGAGCCCAAGUUGGAUUAGCUAGUUGGUGGGGUAAAGGCCUACCAAGGCGACGAUCUGUAGCGGGUCUGAGAGGAUGGUCCGCCACGCUGGGACUGAGACACGGCCCAGACUCCUACGGGAGGCAGCAGUGGGGAAUAUUGGACAAUGGGCGGAAGCCUGAUCCAGCCAUGCCGCGUGUGUGAAGAAGGCCUUUUGGUUGUAAAGCACUUUAAGCGAGGAGGAGGCUACUGGUACUAAUACUACUGGAUAGUGGACGUUACUCGCAGAAUAAGCACCGGCUAACUCUGUGCCAGCCGCCGCCGUAAGAC